rnacentral:tRNA from 1 species
AAACAAUAUAUUAGGGCAAAUUAUGCCUUUCCUUUCCCAGACUGAAGAGAUUGAAUCCUCUGUUGCAAUUUUAGUAUCUGCAACAAUGACAAAAGAAGAUCAGUCAUUUCUUUUCCCUCUCAAUGUUAAUAAAUAAAUUUGAGAUGGCCGAGUUGGUCUAAGGCGCCAGAUUAAGGUUCUGGUCCGAAAGGGCGUGGGUUCAAAUCCCACUCUCAACAAAAGUCAAUUAAUUUUUUUAAUUUCAAUAUUAUAUAAUAUAGAUAAAAUUGUUUUACAUAUCAAGACUUGCAUCUAAUUCUAUCAAAUGGAAUGACAAAAAACAUGUCCAGGCAUAGACGAAAGGUAAAAAUAAAGAAGCUAAAGUUACAAACCGUAUCUUUCUUGCUAUUUUGCUUCUCUUCCAAAUCUUGAACAGUGGCAUCAAGCCGCUUCCUGUCACACAGAGAACACUUACAUUUGUGAUAACAAAAAUAAAAAUUAUAAAAAGCUUAAGAAUACUAAAACCAGCCCAGCCAUAUAAUGAAAAGAUGGCAAAAAAACAUAAACAAGCAAGCAGUACUUAACAGUACUAGAAAUGAGAGGGAAAAAUAGGACAUCGAGAAUAAAUGUAGUACGAGGUAAUGCAUCUAUCCAUGUCAUAAAAUAUUUGGUAAUUUAUUUGCGCAUGUUUGUUACCUGCCUAAUACAAAUACAAGCCUGAUGUUUUGUCUGGGCUUGUAACCAGCUACACACAGAGUUGUAAUAAAACAAAAUAGGCUUAUUGUUCAAAGUAUACGAUUUUGUGCCUAGAUAUUUUAAGCAGUGUCAAAUCCCUAUUUUGUCAUGUUUUUUUAUUGUUAAAAGAUCUUCUUUUUGGUAUUCUUUUGUUUUAAUUCUUUGAUUUUAAUUCAUUUUCAGAUUUUCUUGUAAAAA